rnacentral:rRNA from 1 species
UACGUAGGGUACAAGCGUUAAUCGGAAUUACUGGGCGUAAAGCGUGCGCAGGCGGUUAUGCAAGACAGAGGUGAAAUCCCCGGGCUCAACCUGGGAACUGCCUUUGUGACUGCAUAGCUAGAGUACGGUAGAGGGGGAUGGAAUUCCGCGUGUAGCAGUGAAAUGCGUAGAUAUGCGGAGGAACACCGAUGGCGAAGGCAAUCCCCUGGACCUGUACUGACGCUCAUGCACGAAAGCGUGGGGAGCAAACAGG